rnacentral:rRNA from 1 species
AUGAAGCUGGAUUCGCUAGUAAUCGCGCAUCAGCCACGGCGCGGUGAAUACGUUCCCGGGCCUUGUACACACCGCCCGUCAAGCCAUGGAAGCCGGGGGUGCCUGAAGUGCGCUGCCGCGAGGAGCGCCCUAGGGUAAAACCGGUGACUGGGGCUAAGUCGUAACAAGGUAAC